rnacentral:rRNA from 1 species
ACUACAUGUACAGGAUAGGUGGGAGGCUUUGAAACCAGGACGCCAGUUUUGGCGGAGCCAUCCUUGGGAUACCACCCUUGUAGUACUGGGACUCUAACCAUAGGCCAUGAAUCUGGUCUUGGGACACUGUCAGGUGGGCAGUUUGACUGGGGCGGUCGCCUCCCAACAGGUAACGGAGGCGCUCAAAGGUUCUCUCAGUACGGUCGGAAAUCGUACGGAGGGUGUAAAGGCAAAAGAGAGCUUGAUUGCAAGACAUACAGGGCGAGCAAGGAUGAAAAUCGGACUUAGUGAUCCGGUGGGUCUGCGUGGAAGGGCCAUC